rnacentral:tRNA from 1 species
GGAGAAAUGGCUGAGCGGUUGAAGGCGCACGAUUGGAAAUCGUGUAUACGUUAAUAGCGUAUCCAGGGUUCAAACCCCUGUUUCUCCGCCA